CCCCGGCGAGGGGAGUGAAAAAGAACCUGAAACCGUGUACGUACAAGCAGUGGGAGCACGCUUAGGCGUGUGACUGCGUACCUUUUGUAUAAUGGGUCAGCGACUUAUAUUCUGUAGCAAGGUUAACCGAAUAGGGGAGCCGAAGGGAAACCGAGUCUUAACUGGGCGUUAAGUUGCAGGGUAUAGACCCGAAACCCGGUGAUCUAGCCAUGGGCAGGUUGAAGGUUGGGUAACACUAACUGGAGGACCGAACCGACUAAUGUUGAAAAAUUAGCGGAUGACUUGUGGCUGGGGGUGAAAGGCCAAUCAAACCGGGAGAUAGCUGGUUCUCCCCGAAAGCUAUUUAGGUAGCGCCUCGUGAAUUCAUCUCCGGGGGUAGAGCACUGUUUCGGCAAGGGGGUCAUCCCGACUUACCAACCCGAUGCAAACUGCGAAUACCGGAGAAUGUUAUCACGGGAGACACACGGCGGGUGCUAACGUCCGUCGUGAAGAGGGAAACAACCCAGACCGCCAGCUAAGGUCCCAAAGUCAUGGUUAAGUGGGAAACGAUGUGGGAAGGCCCAGACAGCCAGGAUGUUGGCUUAGAAGCAGCCAUCAUUUAAAGAAAGCGUAAUAGCUCACUGGUCGAGUCGGCCUGCGCGGAAGAUGUAACGGGGCUAAACCAUGCACCGAAGCUGCGGCAGCGACGCUGAUGCGUUGUUGGGUA
rnacentral:rRNA from 1 species